UGAAUGAAGUAAGUAAUGGGAAUGAAUUAUAUAGAACCUGAAAGAGAACAAAAUGAAUGAGAAAGAGCAUAAAGGAAGGGCGGUUGAACCAGAAA